rnacentral:lncRNA from 12 species
CUCUGCCAUCUGCUGACCGUGGAAGCUGGGAAGAAGCUGGUGAUCCCCGCGGGGCUCCUCGUGCUCCUGGGGGGCGCAGGUGCGCAGGGCCCACGGGCCUGGCCUGUCCCACGGCCACAUCACACUCGUCCUAGUUUCCGGGCCUUCCCCCACUGUGCCCUGCUGGGAUGCAGCCCCCUUUUGCUCUGGGAGACGAGACGAAAGCCGAGGGAGAGAGAAGACCAGAAACACACGUCGAGAAAGGCUGCCUCCAGUUAUCCCGGCGAGGGGGCCCCAGGGCCCAACUUCCUUGACCGAGACUCGCACCAGUGCCUCCCGGGCCCGCUGGCACGAGGCCACCGUGAGCUGCGCGCCCGCCCGGCACCGGGCCUCUGCGAGCGGCCUCCGCGCUGGAGAGGGACCGAGGGACAAGGACGCUCCAGCUGCAGGCCAGUUCCUAGAAAGUCCGAUGAAAUGGAUGUCAUUCCUUUGCUGGGAAGAGUCCACCACUUAAAGGAAGUAUUAAGGGAAGACUCCAGGUGCUCUGACCAAGAAAUGUGCCCAGAGGGCUGUUGCCCUGUUUCUAGGCUGCCAGGUGGUUGUCUCACUGCCUUUGUGACCGUCAACCCCGAACAAAAGGAGAACUAAGUGAAGGAGAAGUGAAGAAGAAACAGGAGGGCAACUGGAAGUGUUUGUGACCGUUGCCCUAGCAAUCCAGUUCCGCAGGAGGCCCACCCUGGCUGGAAAGGAAGGCUGAAGCAUGCGGUUGACCAGAGGGAGAACGGGGACUUCUCUGAUGAUUUUUCUUGAGGCUCAUCAUCUAAACACACACUACUGUUUCCCCCUGGGCUUCUCAUGCAAGGAUAUACGGUAUUUCAUGUGAGGAAUGUUCUAUUCACCAUCUCUAACCUUUUUGAAUAGGGGAAGGGAUUAGAAUGAUCUUAUAGCUGAUCAAUUCUCCAGUGCCUGGAACGCUCCUCCCCCACAACCUCCUGCCCCCCCUCCCCAGCAGAAACCUUCCACUCCCACCUCCACCACCUUCCCCCUGGUCAGCAGUACAUUCUUCCAUCCCAACCCAGGGCCAGGAGGGCUACAGGGGAGCGGAGGGGGGCAGGCAAGGAGAGGAAGUUUGUGCCUGAACGUGUGCUGCAGUUACAUUCCAGAGGCAAACAGAAA